UCCUCGGUAGCUCAGUUGGUAGAGCACUUGGCUGUUAACCAAUAGGUCGCUGGUUCGAGCCCGGCCCGGGGAG
rnacentral:tRNA from 1 species